GCCGCGCGCUGGCGCACUUUGAGAAGCGCCCAAAAGCCGGAGCCCGCUGUCACAUCUGUGGGGUUCCACGGAACGCGCAGACGUGGGCUGCCAGCUGCUGGUGGACCUGAAUGAGAAGAGAUUGACCCAAAACUCGAAUGAUGAGGACAGUGCACGUUUGCUUUUCCUAUAGAGGACAAUGCACGUCUGCUUUUCCUGCUUGAGAAAAUCCAACUGAGUGCCAGCUCACAGAGGAAGUAUUUUUCCAGAUAAACUCUCUGGGCAUGCUGUUCUCUCCUGGUUCAACCCACAAGGUUCCACCCAUGCAGAGGUUAUUCCUGUGCCCGUCUUCCAAAGCCCAGGCUCCAUGAAGGCACAGAUGAAGAUGCCAUCACUGACGGCUUGACCAAACUCAAUGCUUCCCAACGUCAGCGAGUUCUGAUCACCUACAAGAGCACUCCUGCAGGUAGGUGCUCUGCAGAGAUGUGUGAACGUGGUUGGGUCACUGGGUGAAAAGCGAAAAAUGACCCAGCCUCCAUAAGAGAAAGGUCAGCAGAGACUUUACCUGGCCAAGGUUGUUUUGUUCCUGUUCAGUUCAGUGCAGUUGUUGAUGCAAGGAGGGUUGGAGCCUGAAGAGAAGUGGUGAGCAGCUCAGUUCCUUCUGUCCUCGAAGGCCGCGCCUUCUGCCAGCUCCUUUCUCCUCUCUUGGCCUUCUAGGGUUUGAUCGAUGACUGGAAGUGACUUGAAGCUGAGUGGGAAUUCUGAGAGGGUGAUGAUUGGGAUGAUGACCGCCAGCACCGUGUGUGACGUGCAGAACUAAGGAGGGCUGUGAAGGUUUGGAAGUCUUCCUUUCGAAUGGCUCAAGUUCUGGCCAAGGACUUGCUGCUUUGUUAUGUACGUCUUCUCAUUUAUUAACUCUUAAAGAAACCUGGCUGCACGUCACAAGCAGGUGCUGGUAUCUGAAAUCUUGCUUGGCGAUUCCCUAGGGAGCAGGAACAGGUGAAGGCUGCCUGAUUGAAAUUCUGGCUUCUCACACCAGUGAAGAGAUUGGUCACAUUGAUGAGAACUGCGAGCUUCGUAAGCAGAGCAAAAGGGCAGGCCUUGUCCUGCUGCCUGCCAUCAGUGUGUGUGUGUGCAGGCAGGCGUGAUAGGAAGGAGUCUGGGGAGCUUUCAGGUGUGACAAACUGGCCAACCUGGGUGUUGCUGUUUGUGCAGAGAGAAGCUAGACUGGAAUUUCAGCAGCAGCUGAACUGGUGUAACUGAAAUGGGGAGGAGCAUUCUGUCUGUCAGCGGGACGUGUGGCUCUCUUGCCAGUUUCUUGCUGUCUGUGCUUCUUAAUUGGAGGCUGCAGCACUGAUGAUGAUGGCUGGAGCGCUGCAGUGAUGCCGAGAGAUGCAGCCAGGUGAUGGCUGGCAAAUGUUGUGGGCAGCACCCAGGUGGUGGCCCUGCUCCUUACGGAUGCUGUGUGUGUUCCUGCUGGAAGCUGGCUGCUCCCUUGAGGAUGGCGUCGUAUCUGACACAUCUGCCGUGUUCCCAAGGGUCCUCGUGUCCCUCAUGGCGCUGAGCCACGCUGAGGGAGAAGGGGCUGAAUGUUCAGAGCUGUGGGCACAGCUCUGCACUCAGUGGUGAGGAGCUCCAGGCUGGCUUUUUCUCACCCUGUGCGUCCCAUGGCUGCUCCUCAAGCCCAGCUUCUGCAGGGAGGGGGCUCUGACUCUGGCUGUGCGUGAGUGCUGUGGGCUCUUCUUUAAACAUGCCAGUAAAGUGGGUUGCUGCUCGUUUCAGAAGGAGCCCAAAGCACACUUGAGCUGUGUUUCGCUGUGUUUGUGAGCUGUGUUCCCUUUGAAGGACUCCAUUAUCCAUCUCCAGCACCCGUUCCUGAAUGGGGAGUUCUCAGGAGUUGCUUCCAGUAGAUGCUCUGGUGAACCGAGUCUUCUCUCCUUGUGUCCUUGCAGAGGUGAGGGAAUGCAUGUGGAUGAUGGCCUUGCUCAGCAGAUGCUCAGGUCAGUUGUCCAUCUCAACAUCCAGCGCAGGAACAACAUUUCAUUCCCGCAGUGCAUAAUGCUGUGAAGGCAUCGCAGGCCGCCCGCUCGUCUCCGCCGUGCUCAGGGGCUUUGCUGAGCUGCCGGCCCAGUGCUGCAGCCCCACAGCGCAGCCUCAUGUCUGGUGACGGACUGCAGCUGGAAAACCCUGGCAGCGGAGGAUGCUCCUGCCCCACAGAAGGACUCGCAGCUCCAGCACCCUCAGUGCUGGAAGGAGGCUGCAGUGCCUCCACGCGAUGGAUGCGGUCCACCCGACAGCUCAUGUGGCUCACUGUGCGAGGCCAGCAGGAAGAAAGGUGGGCACGGGAUUAUCAUGAGCUCUAAAUAUGCAGCUAAAAGAGUCUGAAAACCAGGAGUCCAAACCCUUGUCUGUGGAAGGCCCACCUUGUUACCCAGCUCCCGAGCAAAGAAAAAGAAGAAUCAAGUCUUCAGUCAGCACACACACUCCAGUCAGUCAGCUCCGCAAUAAAAGCUACCUUUUCCAUGCACCUCCA